rfam:Octopus bimaculoides Scaffold44592_contig_173, whole genome shotgun sequence.
AUGCCUUAAACUAAUGAGUAAGGAAAAUAACGAGUCAGGGUAAUGCCUGACUCCACAGUCUAAUCUGUGACGAUUUUUUGCACAGGUUCAGGUCGCCCCUUGGUAUCCCGCCUACUUUCGCGGGUAACCAGGGUUGAUGUGAUCUGCCUG